AGGAUGAACGCUGGCGGCGCGCCUAAUACAUGCGAGUCGAGCGACGAAAGGAGAAGGGGUAACCCUUCUCCCUGAAAGCGGCGAACGGGUGAGUAACACGUGGGUAACGUGCCCCUGACUCUGGGAUAACAACGGGAAACCGUUGCUAAUACCGGAUAACCCAUACCUACCGCAUGGCGGGUAUGGCAAAGUUUUUUCGGGCAGGGAUCGGCCCGCGUCCUAUCAGCUUGUUGGUGGGGUAACGGCCUACAAGGCGGUGACGGGUAGCUGGCGUGAGAGCGUGGCCAGCCACACUGGGACUGAGACACGGCCCAGACUCCACGGGAGGCAGCAGUAGGGAAUCUUGCGCAAGUGGGACGAAAGCCUAGACGCAGCGACGCCGCGUGGA
rnacentral:rRNA from 1 species